AUGAACGCUAGCUACAGGCUUAACACAUGCAAGUCGAGGGGCAUCAGGAAGAAAGCUUGCUUUCUUUGCUGGCGACCGGCGCACGGGUGAGUAACACGUAUCCAACCUGCCCUUUACUCGGGGAUAGCCUUUCGAAAGAAAGAUUAAUACCCGAUAGUAUAAUGAUUCCGCAUGGUUUCAUUAUUAAAGGAUUCCGGUAAAGGAUGGGGAUGCGUUCCAUUAGGUUGUUGGUGAGGUAACGGCCCACCAAGCCUUCGAUGGAUAGGGGUUCUGAGAGGAAGGUCCCCCACAUUGGAACUGAGACACGGUCCAAACUCCUACGGGAGGCAGCAGUGAGGAAUAUUGGUCAAUGGGCGCUAGCCUGAACCAGCCAAGUAGCGUGAAGGAUGAAGGCUCUAUGGGUCGUAAACUUCUUUUAUAUAAGAAUAAAGUGCAGUAUGUAUACUGUUUUGUAUGUAUUAUAUGAAUAAGGAUCGGCUAACUCCGUGCCAGCAGCCGCGGUAAUACGGAGGAUCCGAGCGUUAUCCGGAUUUAUUGGGUUUAAAGGGAGCGUAGGUGGACUGGUAAGUCAGUUGUGAAAGUUUGCGGCUCAACCGUAAAAUUGCAGUUGAUACUGUCAGUCUUGAGUACAGUAGAGGUGGGCGGAAUUCGUGGUGUAGCGGUGAAAUGCUUAGAUAUCACGAAGAACUCCGAUUGCGAAGGCAGCUCACUGGACUGCAACUGACACUGAUGCUCGAAAGUGUGGGUAUCAAACAGGAUUAGAUACCCUGGUAGUCCACACAGUAAACGAUGAAUACUCGCUGUUUGCGAUAUACAGUAAGCGGCCAAGCGAAAGCAUUAAGUAUUCCACCUGGGGAGUACGCCGGCAACGGUGAAACUCAAAGGAAUUGACGGGGGCCCGCACAAGCGGAGGAACAUGUGGUUUAAUUCGAUGAUACGCGAGGAACCUUACCCGGGCUUAAAUUGCAGUGGAAUGAUGUGGAAACAUGUCAGUGAGCAAUCACCGCUGUGAAGGUGCUGCAUGGUUGUCGUCAGCUCGUGCCGUGAGGUGUCGGCUUAAGUGCCAUAACGAGCGCAACCCUUAUCUUUAGUUACUAACAGGUUAUGCUGAGGACUCUGGAGAGACUGCCGUCGUAAGAUGUGAGGAAGGUGGGGAUGACGUCAAAUCAGCACGGCCCUUACGUCCGGGGCUACACACGUGUUACAAUGGGGGGUACAGAAGGCAGCUAGCGGGUGACCGUAUGCUAAUCCCAAAAGCCUCUCUCAGUUCGGAUCGAAGUCUGCAACCCGACUUCGUGAAGCUGGAUUCGCUAGUAAUCGCGCAUCAGCCACGGCGCGGUGAAUACGUUCCCGGGCCUUGUACACACCGCCCGUCAAGCCAUGGGAGCCGGGGGUACCUGAAGUACGUAACCGCAAGGAUCGUCCUAGGGUAAAACUGGUGACUGGGGCU
rnacentral:rRNA from 1 species